AACGGAAGAGAACAACAGGGAUUGCCUCAGUAACGGCGAGUGAAGCGGCAACAGCUCAAAUUUGAAAGCUGGCUCUUUUCGGGGCCCGCGUUGUAAUUUGUAGAGGAUGCUUCGGGUGCGGCGCUGGUCUAAGUUCUUUGGAACAAGACGUCACAGAGGGUGAGAAUCCCGUAUGCGACUGGUUGCCUGCGCCUGUGUGAAGCUCCUUCGACGAGUCGAGUUGUUUGGGAAUGCAGCUCAAAAUGGGUGGUGUACUUCAUCUAAAGCUAAAUAUUGGCCAGAGACCGAUAGCGCACAAGUAGAGUGAUCGAAAGAUGAAAAGCACUUUGGAAAGAGAGUUAAACAGUACGUGAAAUUGUUGAAAGGGAAGCGCUUGCAAUCAGACUUGCGCAGCGCCGAUCAGCCUGGGUUCUCCCUGGUGCACUCGGCGCUGCUCAGGCCAGCAUCAGUUUCGGCGGUUGGAUAAAGGCUUGGGGAACGUAGGUCGCCUCGGCGACUGUUAUAGCCCCAGGUGCAAUGCAGCCUGCUGGGACUGAGGACCGCGCUUCGGCUAGGAUGCUGGCGUAAUGGUUGUAAGCGACCCGUCUUGAAACACGGACCAAGGAGUCUAACAUCUAUGCGAGUAUUUGGGUGUCAAACCCAUAUGCGUAAUGAAAGUGAACGGAGGUGAGAACCCUUAAGGGUGCAUCAUCGACCGAUCCUGAUGUCUUCGGAUGGAUUUGAGUAAGAGCAUAGCUGUUAGGUCCCGAAAGAUGGUAGCAGCGUAUUUUGCCAUUGGGAGCUGUUGCCUUGCAACAGCUAGUGGGCUUCAAAGCCUGCGAGACUUCCAAUUUGCUGGGAAAUGUCGGGCUUCAAAAGCCUGGCAAAUCAGCAGCUGCUUUUUACAAGCAGUCAACAGACUAAAUAGAAGUCGGUUGCCUACAUGGCAGCUUGAGAUAUAGCCGAGCGCCCCCUAGCAAUAGGGAGCAUCAGCUGGAACUAUGCCUGAAUAGGGUGAAGCCAGGGGAAACCCUGGUGGAGGCUCGUAGAGGUCCUGACGUGCAAAUCGGUCUUCAAAUUUGGGUAUAGGGGCGAAAGACUAAUCGAACCAUUGGAAACCAGCCUUCUAGGUGGUUGAGAGGCCUGCAAGGCCUAGUCGCCCAUGGCGGCGAUACUGUAAAACUGCGGGGACCGCUCCAUAGAUGCAGGCUACCACAGCGGGCUCGAAAGGGCCUGCCACGGUAACAAGGCCUGGCAGCUGAGCCGAUCCGCAACCUAAGCCUAUCGCUAUUUCCCUACCCGGAGGUCAGCUAUCUAUUGCUGACUUCCUACCCGGAGAUCCAGCCAAGGCUUCAGGCACACAGACUAGAUGACAGUGGGUGCGCAGCGCCUAAGGUAUAGUCGAUCUCCCCGGCUGGCGCCGGGGGUGCAGAAACUAGGA
rnacentral:rRNA from 1 species